GGCUUAUUCUGAUAUAAAAGAUUGAUUGAAACAUAUCAUAUGCAUGGCUUUUGAUCCCUUACCAACUAAAAUCAGAUCUUCCCAUCACAUCUUUUCUAUUUUUCAAUUGUUGUGUUUACAACUGUGCAUACCAAUGCGAUGUCUAAUCUUGAGGAACGCUUCAAGAACAGCUUUAAAAUCUUACACCAUGAAAUGUAAAGAAGAAUGCCUUGAAGGCAAAGCCAAAGAAAUUUCAGGCAUGUUACUGUAAUGAUUGCCUUGAUCUUGAUAUCAAAUUUCACAGUAAACGUAAAGAAAAUAUCUUUCUAUAAUUUGUUGCCCUCAAGAGGAAAAUUAAAAGCAUUCAAGCUUUGGCUCUGUAAGAUUUCUAGCCGAUUGAUCUUAUAUCUAUGCUAUUGAUCAAGACACGUAUAAUGGUUAAUACUACUUAGUCCAUGGAAGAGAACCUGGGUAAGGACCAGCUCCACAAUAUCUGAAUAAACCUUCAAUUUCAGGGCAGCCAUUAGGAUAAGGGAUUGACCGAUGAAAGGGAUCACGCCCAAGUUUUUUACGCCGAAGUGUACCUCUACACCCAUAUGGAUCUUCUUGAAAUUGAGCCCUUACCAAUGCCUCACCUUUCAAAGCUGCUUCUUUGGAAGUUGAUGUUGUUGGAGUGCCAUAGUAAAAGAAUCUUGAAUCCGGAAAACCAAUUGCAGAGCGAUGCAAGUGUGAAAAUCUUUCUUUCUUGAAGUCAUAACUUACAACUGUUAUGUUUUCAGGAUAUGUGCCAGUAAGCUCUCGGAACCGGCAAACACUAAAGAGAAGAUUCUCAAAGCUGUCUCUUGCAUGUUCUUCUGUCAAUGCCCUCCAUCUCACGCUUUCCUCAUUGCCAAACCAUCCUUUUGAUUCAGCAACAGUCCAAUAGCUCUGUGCUUCACUACGUGGACCAGCAUCUUUUCUUGUCUCACCGCCACUAAACAAAAGCAAAGCCCUAUCAUCCUUUGCUGUAAUUUCAACUCCCUCUUGUAUAUGAGUCACAAAAGUAGCAGCCUGACCUGGAUUUCUCUGAUAAGACUCUAAAAACCAAGAAUCCUCCUUAUCAACUCUCUCACAACUACUACUGGUAUAAACCGAAUGCCCAGCAACCAUUACAAGAUUUUUAAGCUUAGCAAAAGGAUAAACAUUCGAACUCAUAUCCAAUUUCCUGUAACUAUUCAUCGUUCGAUACCGGCUCUCAUAUAGAGACAAAACAACGAGAAUAGUGAUCCCCAAAGACAAUGAAAUGAUGAACACAAGAAAUGGGUGCAGCUUGUAAUAAUAGUGAAGCCGGUUAGCCAGAGAUUUGAGCAUUUUGAAGGGGAGAAAGGAGGAGUUUUUUGACUUUCGGAGCCUUUUGAUGGUUCCUGAUUCUAAAUCGAAUUCACCUCUUGGAUACGCAUUGAAAGAUUUGGGACUAUUUGCAUGCAUGUUCAUUAUAAAGAAAAUCCAGCUUAUAAGCAGUGAUAUUUAUGGAAAUCAAGCAUACCCAGAUAGGGAUUUGGACAGAAAAAGGUAAAGCAAUGGAUUCAUGAAUAUGACCAGAAGCAGAUUCGGAUAGACAGCUAUCCUUUAAUCAAUUUAAACACACAAAUAUGAGAAUUUACAGAUAUUAAGCAAUGGGAUCAUAUGUUAUAAUUCAAUUGCUGAAACCAGGUACCGUUUUACACACACACAGAAAGGAAAGCCCAAUUUCAAUUGAUCAACGGAUAAAUUUUAUAGCUUGGGAAAGGGAAAUCACACAAAACCAUGAACACAUUCGAGUAGAGAAGUCAAUGGGGUAGCGCAAGUCAGAACGCUUUUGGAAAACAAGCACGAAUAGAGAGUGAUAGACAAGCUCACCACAGAAAGUUUGAUGAAAUAGUUGGGUGUUUAAUGCAGAGAGUUCCAGUGCCUGGAAAUAAUCAGAUCAUGAAAUGCUGACAAGAUUCAGAUUCUUGAGAGAUUUGUUUCAGAAAAUGAUCGCAUAUACAUUGUUUUGUUUUUCUAGGAUUUGAGAGAUGGUGGAGAAGACGACCAGAAGUUUUCCGUUGCCUGUGUAGAAGCACUGUUGAUCUCAGAUUGCUUCGUCCAAG
rnacentral:misc_RNA from 1 species